rnacentral:piRNA from 1 species
UAUAAACCAAUUCAGAGCAUCUAUCAGAACU